CGCGGCCUAUCAGCUUGUUGGUGAGGUAAUGGCUCACCAAGGCAUCGACGGGUAGCUGGUCUGAGAGGACGAUCAGCCACACUGGGACUGAGACACGGCCCAGACUCCUACGGGAGGCAGCAGUGGGGAAUAUUGCGCAAUGGGCGAAAGCCUGACGCAGCAACGCCGCGUGUGGGAUGACAGCUUUCGGGUUGUAAACCACUUUCAGUGACGACGAAAAUGACGGUAGUCACAGAAGAAGGUCCGGCCAACUACGUGCCAGCAGCCGCGGUAACACGUAGGGACCAAGCGUUGUCCGGAUUUAUUGGGCGUAAAGAGCUCGUAGGCGGUUCCGUAAGUCGGAUGUGAAAACUCAGGGCUCAACCCUGAGACGCCAUCUGAUACUGCGGUGACUAGAGUCCGGUAGGGGAGCAUGGAAUUCCUGGUGUAGCGGUGGAAUGCGCAGAUAUCAGGAGGAACGCCAAUGGCGAAGGCAGUGCUCUGGGCCGGAACUGACGCUGAGGAGCGAAAGCAUGGGGAGCAAACAGGAUUAGAUACCCUGGUAGUCCAUGCCGUAAACGUUGGGCACUAGGUGUGGGAUCUUCUAACGGAUUCCGUGCCGUAGCUAACGCAUUAAGUGCCCCGCCUGGGGAGUACGG
rnacentral:rRNA from 1 species